UACGUAGGGUGCGAGCGUUAAUCGGAAUUACUGGGCGUAAAGCGUGCGUAGGCGGUUUUGUAAGCCAGAUGUGAAAGCCCCGGGCUUAACCUGGGAAUGGCAUUUGGGACUGCAAGGCUUGAGUGCGGCAGAGGAGACUGGAAUUCCUGGUGUAGCAGUGAAAUGCGCAGAUAUCAGGAGGAAUACCGAUGGCGAAGGCAGGUCUCUGGGCUGACACUGACGCUCAUGCACGAAAGCGUGGGGAGCAAACAGG
rnacentral:rRNA from 1 species